UGGGGAAUUUUGGACAAUGGGCGAAAGCCUGAUCCAGCAAUGCCGCGUGUGUGAAGAAGGCCUUCGGGUUGUAAAGCACUUUUGUCCGGAAAGAAAUCCUUGGCUCUAAUACAGUCGGGGGAUGACGGUACCGGAAGAAUAAGCACCGGCUAACUACGUGCCAGCAGCCGCGGUAAUACGUAGGGUGCAAGCGUUAAUCGGAAUUACUGGGCGUAAAGCGUGCGCAGGCGGUUUGCUAAGACCGAUGUGAAAUCCCCGGGCUCAACCUGGGAACUGCAUUGGUGACUGGCAGGCUAGAGUAUGGCAGAGGGGGAUAGAAUUCCACGUGUAGCAGUGAAAUGCGUAGAGAUGUGGAGGAAUACCGAUGGCGAAGGCAGCCCCCUGGGCCAAUACUGACGCUCAUGCACGAAAGCGUGGGGAGCAAACAGGAUUAGAUACCCUGGUAGUCCACGCCCUAAAACGAUGUCAACUAGUUGUUGGGGAUUCAUUUCCUUAGUAACGUAGCUAACGCGUGAAGUUGACCGCCUGGGGAGUACGGUCGCAAGAUUAAAACUCAAAUGAAUUGACGGGGUCAUAGCUGUUUCCU
rnacentral:rRNA from 1 species